rnacentral:tRNA from 1 species
GCGGAUGUGGCCCAUGGGUUGGGCACCUGCCUUCCAAGCAGGCUAACCGAGUUCGAGUCUCGGCUUCCGCUCCA